GAGAGACAUGAAUAGAUUUUCACGCACACCGUGUGUGUAUCUAUACGGGCUCUGCCAGCAUAAAAUUGACUUGGUGGUAGGGCCACGCGUCUGAAAAUGCACAUGCUAAAAUGCAUGUAACCGGUGCAGGCAGUGCGUGCAGCAGCGGGAUGGCGGUGAUGGUAAUCACACCAGUGUAAGUCAACCCACAGAAGAGUAGGGAAAUGAAUAUGGAAAUAAGUGUAUGAAAGAAAUUACGAAACCUGUUUAUCUGCAGUGUUCUGCCAAAUGAACAAUCAGAAAAUGUGGGGGGUUUUUUCUCCCUGUGGCUUUUUCAGUUACAAGAAUUUAGAAAAGGUGAGAGCACCUUUCCUCUAGAAUGAUCCUAAAGCAUUUUGCAAAUCCUGUUUGAUUUUUGGCAACUGAGGUCAUCUCAAGAUUAUUUCAACGAUGCCAGUUCUGGAGUCAAGAUAGAAGCCGGACUUUAGACCAUCCAGUUAGAAAAAGGUUACUGGCGAUCGUUUUUUUGAGGAUGCUGAGUUCAUGAAUCAUUUCCCUUCCACAACCAAGUAUCUCCAAGGUGUGGAGAGUAGCCAUGAAAUGUUAUGAGGGACCACCUCUCGGAACCAGAAAUGCAACCAAGUUGAGAGGAGCAGGGUCAGUCUGCAGCUUUGACAAG